GCCGGUGUGGCGGAAUUGGCAGACGCGCACGACUCAAAAUCGUGUGGGCUUACGCCCUUGUCGGUUCGACCCCGACCACCGGUA
rnacentral:tRNA from 1 species